rnacentral:rRNA from 1 species
UACGAAGGGGGCUAGCGUUGUUCGGAAUCACUGGGCGUAAAGCGCGUGUAGGCGGAUUGCUAAGUCGGGGGUGAAAUCCUGAGGCUCAACCUCAGAACUGCCUUCGAUACUGGCGAUCUUGAGUCCGAGAGAGGUGAGUGGAACUCCUAGUGUAGAGGUGAAAUUCGUAGAUAUUAGGAAGAACACCAGUGGCGAAGGCGGCUCACUGGCUCGGUACUGACGCUGAGGCACGAAAGCGUGGGGAGCAAACAGG